rnacentral:rRNA from 1 species
UUUAGUUUGCUUGCAACUAAAAAUGGCGCCUGGCGCACGGGUGAGUAACACGUAUCCAACCUGCCGAUAACUCGGGGAUAGCCUUUCGAAAGAAAGAUUAAUAUCCGAUGGUAUAUUAAAACCGCAUGGUUUUACUAUUAAAGAAUUUCGGUUAUCGAUGGGGAUGCGUUCCAUUAGUUUGUUGGCGGGGUAACGGCCCACCAAGACUACGAUGGAUAGGGGUUCUGAGAGGAAGGUCCCCCACAUUGGAACUGAGACACGGUCCAAACUCCUACGGGAGGCAGCAGUGAGGAAUAUUGGUCAAUGGACGAGAGUCUGAACCAGCCAAGUAGCGUGAAGGAUGACUGCCCUAUGGGUUGUAAACUUCUUUUAUAUGGGAAUAAAGUAUUCCACGUGUGGGAUUUUGUAUGUACCAUAUGAAUAAGGAUCGGCUAACUCCGUGCCAGCAGCCGCGGUAAUACGGAGGAUCCGAGCGUUAUCCGGAUUUAUUGGGUUUAAAGGGAGCGUAGGUGGAUUGUUAAGUCAGUUGUGAAAGUUUGC